rnacentral:rRNA from 1 species
UGCUAGUCGAGCGCCUUCCAGCCACGAAGAAGGCGCGGCACACAGCUCAGUAACACGUAGCUAACCUGCCCUCGGGACGAGAACACCCCCGGGAAACUGGGGCUAAUUCUCGAUAGGCGAAGAACUCUGGAAUGAGUCUUUACCCAAAAGACGUUUAGAUCAUGCUUCUAGGCGUCGCCCAAGGAUGGGGCUGCGACCGAUCAGGUAGUUGGUGAGGCAAUGGCUCACCAAGCCUUUAACCGGUGCGGGCCGUGGGAGCGGGAGCCCGGAGAUGGGCACUGAGACAAGGGCCCAGGCCCUACGGGGCGCAGCAGUCGCGAAAACUUUGCAAUAAGCGAAAGCUUGACAGGGCUAUCCCGAGUGCCAUCCGCUGAGGAAGGCUUUUACCCAGUCUAGUAAGCUGGGGGAAUAAGGAGAGGGCAAGUCUGGUGUCAGCCGCCGCGGUAAUACCAGCUCUCCGAGUGGUGUGGAUGUUUAUUGGGCCUAAAGCAUCCGUAGCUGGCUGAGCUAGUCCCCUGUUAAAUCCACCGAAUCAAUCGUUGGAUUGCGGGGGAUACUGCUCGGCUAGGGGACGGGAGAGGCAGACGGUAUUUCCGGGGUAAGGGUGAAAUCUUAUAAUCCCGGGAAGACCACCAGUGGCGAAGGCUGUCUGCUAGAACGCGCCCGACGGUGAGGGAUGAAAGCUGGGGUAGCGAACCGGAUUAGAUACCCGGGUAGUCCCAGCCGUAAACGAUGCAGCUAGGUGUUUGGGCGGCCACGUGCCGCUCUAGUGCCGCAGGAAGCUGUUAAGCCUGCCGCCUGGGGAGUACGAUCGCAAGAUUGAAACUUAA